AGACAUCUUGGGGUCACACACACACAUGUCCUUUCAGCGAUGGAGAUUUGGAACUAAUCUUCCUACAAGUGGACAAGCUCCAGAGAGUCAGCAUAAAGAACAACAGAGACCGGAGAGGAACCGAGGGGUCAUUCUACACCCACCAAAAGCCACUGGCAUCAUAAUACCAGGUGACUGAGAAGCCCGAGAAAGGUCACUGCGACCAUGGAUCAGAAAGGAGCCAUGAUGACAUGUAUACGAGCCGGAUAGCCCAGACCUUAUCAACAACCGGUGGAUGUAACUACAGGUUUUUUAUUCUGAGUGGGAGGUAAUCGCUGGAGCACACACCUAAACCGCAGCGAGGACUUCGGGGAGUCAGGUGCAAGCGGAUUUGUGUGGCUAGGAUGAAAACCUGCAGCCUUAACAGCCCUCUGUUGAUAAGACCCGUGAGCAGAAUUUUUAUACCUUGUUAGCAUUAGCUGCAUUAGCGUUAGCACUAACAGACAGAUAGGCUAUACCUCACAGCAUGAGUGAUGCCAGCCUUUCUCACCAAGAGAAAGAAAAGUGAGAAGAGAAAGACAGCGAUAGAGAGAGAGAGAGAGGCUGUGGAGGAGAAGGAGGGGGUCGAUGAGUAGUGGGGGUUGGGGCGCUGAAAAGCCUCGCUUUGU